CGCGCAUUCCCAGAGGAUAUCUUCAACUCUUGCGGCUGCUGUCUCAGAUCAACUCCAGCAGUAUCAGCAGCAGCAGUAACAACAUCAACAGCAAAGGCAGCAAACUCACUUAAGGACUUAAGUAAGAAUUUACCAGAACAGGCAUCACGUUAAUGUUAAAAAUUAAAAAAAA